GAAAGCCGUGUGCAAUGAAAAAUGCACGCACGGCUUGGGGAGGGAUUUUUUAUUGUAUUAUUUCAUUAAACAAUGAAUUUUCUACUCCAU
rfam:Cicer arietinum chromosome Ca6, whole genome shotgun sequence.